CCGGUUUAUACAAUCCUUGCUGUGUUCGGCUUUAGCCGGCAAAAACUCGGUUAACUUCGUGCUCUGGCGAGGGUUCAUGUCGAUUUUAUACGCCUGUGCCGGUCAGAAUACGUAGCUAGUUAUUUGUGUUUUGUGCGUUUUUCCUAGUUUAUCCCACUGUUUUGCCGAAAAGGUUUAGUGCCAGAAUUUGAAAAGUGAUAUUUUAUGUAACUGUGUAUAAAUAUUAAACCAUGGAAACAAAUAUGACUGUGGAUGUGGACAAAGACAUUUUUAACCAAAAAUUAUCCGAAAUGUUAAGUAAACAAUCUGUGAACACAUUGCUAUUUCCUCGCGAGCGGUACAAUCGUAUGGUUGAGAAGAUAAAGUUAUCGAAAUCGAAUCCUAAAAAGACCCCCGACGAUUACCGUCGUGCUAAAAAAUAUGAUAUUGUGGAAACACCUGAUGGUGAGCGUAUGUUAGCCAGGCCGACACCUCUGGACAAACAUAACAGACGGCUAAUGCUCGUACCUAUUGAAGAAAUGUAUGAUAUUGUAAGUGAAUAUCACACAAAAUUAAACCAUGCUGGCAGGGGCCGCAUGAUGACACAAAUUAAACGAAAGUAUAAGAACAUUACUGCCCAAGUCGUUCUACUCUAUUCGUCGCUUUGCCACACUUGCAAAAACAGGCUUGUGGUGCGCCAAAGGAACUCGCAGCCAAAGCCGGUUAAAACAGACUUGUUGGUGAAUUUUGAAGACGACCCGUUAAAAGAAACAUCUGUUAAUUUAGAAGCUAGGAGUUUAGCCGUAACACAGACACCUGGUUGGAAAUACCCCGAACUAUAUUCACGAGCGCAAGUUGAUUUGUUAAGUGUCAUGAAUGAAUCUAGGGAGGAAUAUAAAUUUUUGAUGGUGUAUAGAAAUUUCGUGACAAAAUUCAUCCAUUUAAAGGCAAUGAGACAAUUGUGUGUUGACGAAGCUGUUGAUGCAUUAUUAGAAAUUUUUCUUGUCUUCGGCGCACCUAAUAUAUUGCAAUCGAAGAAUGGCAUUGUCAUUGCAAAGCCUAUUUGUAGACGUAUAGGUAAUCUUUGUCCAAAUAUUAAAAUAGUAGCUUCUGAGAGUGUUUUUACGAACCAAGAUUUUAAAGGGAAAUCGAAUGAGGAUAUACUCAAAAUGCUAAACGACUGGCUCGUAAAGACACAGAACGUUAAGUGGCAGGAAGGCGUAAAAUUUGUUCAACAUACAUUGAACACGACAUUUCACGAGACCCUAUGUAGAACGCCGAGUGAAAUAACUUUUGGAACAAAUCCAAGGAAAGGAUUGAGUUCAGACAUGUCUAGGAACGAUUACGAAGACAUGUUUACCGAACAAGAUCUGAAAGCUAGUUUGGAACAAAAAGAAUCUCGAGAAAAUGUUCCAAAACAAUUAAAACUGGAAGAGUCGUUGAUAGUGCCAUCUACUUUUAUUAAGUUAGAAGAAGACAUAGAAGAUAAUGUGAUUGAGGAUGAUAAUAUGGAUAUUUAGCUUUCAAUAGAACAUUUAAUAGAUUAUAUUAUGAAUGCUGAUGUACAGGCGUGAUAAAAUUAUUUUUCUAUGGCAUUUGGUGAAUCGGGCCCUGAAGUCCGGCCCUUGGAGCCAGUCGUCCCGACAAGGCAGAGUUGCGAGGACGGUAGAUCCGCGCGACAUGCAGAGGGCGUUACUUGAAGCACAUAGCAUAUAUUCUGA
rnacentral:misc_RNA from 1 species